rnacentral:lncRNA from 1 species
GGAAGGAAGGAAGGAAGGAAGGACACAUUGAUCCAUGGAAGAGUCUACAGAGCCCAGAAAUAGGCCAGCACAAAUGUAGCCAACUGAUCCUUGGCAAAGAAGAAAAGGCAGUUCAAUAGAGAAAAGAUGGUGCUGGAAUGAUUUGGUGUGCAUAAAAGAGAAAAAGAAAGCAAGAAAGAAUCUAGAUAUACACCUCACCUUAUACCUUUCACAAAAAUUAACUCAAAGUGGAUCUUAGAACUAAAUGUAAAAUGCAAAACUGUAAUAUCUCUGGAAGAAAAUAUUUCUGUGUUCUCUAGGUGACCUCGAGUUUGGUGAUAAAUUGUUUUGUUUU